rnacentral:ncRNA from 1 species
AAACUGAAUAUAAAGUUCGCCCGUAUAUACCCGGUAAUAUGGUCCGGGUGUUUCUACCAGACUGCCGCAAAUUGUCUGACUAUGGGUGUUUGUAAGCAUAAU